rnacentral:rRNA from 1 species
GACGAACGCUGGCGGCGUGCUUAACACAUGCAAGUCGAGCGGAGCGGCGAACGGGUGAGUAACGCGUGAGUAACUGCCCCCCUCUCUGGGAUAACAGUUGGAAACGGCUGCUAAUACCGGAUAGUGGGGGAUGACUCGCGUCCUAUCAGCUUGUUGGUGGGGUAGUGUCCUACCAAGGCGACGACGGGUAGCCGGCCUGAGAGGGCGACCGGCCACAAUGGGCUGAGAGAGGGCGCAAAGGCCGACGGGGGGCAGCAGGGGGAAAGAUUGCACAAUGGGGGAAAACCUGAUGCAGAAACGCCGCGGGCGGGAUGACGGCCUUCGGGUUGUAAACCGCUUUCAGCCAGGACGCGGUAGUGGCAGAAGAAGCACCGGCUAACUACGUGCCAGCAGCCGCGGUAAUAC